UCUUAUCCAGAGAGGUGGAGGGACUGGCCCUUUGAAGCCUCGGCAGCGAGCAUUUUAUAUGUGUUGUGCCAAUUCCAGUAGCGUUUAGCUAGUAGAUAAG
rnacentral:ncRNA from 1 species